ACGGAAGGCAGCAGUGAGGAAUAUUGGUCAAUGGACGGAAGUCUGAACCAGCCAUGCCGCGUGCAGGAAUAAGGCCCUAUGGGUCGUAAACUGCUUUUGUGGUGGAGCAAUAAGGCGUACGUGUACGUCGAUGAGAGUACAUCACGAAUAAGCAUCGGCUAACUCCGUGCCAGCAGCCGCGGUAAUACGGAGGCUGCAAGCGUUAUCCGGAUUUAUUGGGUUUAAAGGGUGCGUAGGCUGUGCGACAAGUCAGGGGUGAAAGCCCGCCGCCCAACGGUGGAACUGCCUUUGAUACUGUCGCGCUGGAAUACGGAUGCCGUGGGAGGAAUGAGUAGUGUAGCGGUGAAAUGCAUAGAUAUUACUCAGAACACCGAUUGCGAAGGCAUCUCACGAAUCCGUCAUUGACGCUGAGGCACGAAAGCGUGGGGAUCAAACAGGAUUAGAUACCCUGGUA
rnacentral:rRNA from 1 species